AGCCAAACUGCUUGGGUUCCAACCCCCUCCUGCCACUUAGUAUCCACGUGACAGUCACGUCACUUCUCAGCCUCCCAGGGCUAAAAGACACAACAGAUGCGGUGAGCCAAGCACAGGGGAAGGUACAGGGAGCCUUCCCCACGUAUUAGCCGUUCCUUUUCUGAUGUUUCCUUAUUGCUGCUGUAAUAAGAAGUCAGUGCCUUAAAAUGACACAAGCUUAGGAUCUUACACAAGCUUUGGAGAAGGAAAUGGAACCCCACUCCGGAACUCUUCCCUGGAAAAAUCUCAUGGAUGGUGGAGCCUGAUAGGCUAUAGUCCAUGGGGUUGCAAAGAGUCAGACACAACUGAGCGACUUCACUUCACUUGAGGAUCUUACAGUUUAUGAACUUGAGGGCUCCAUGGAGGCUCGCCCGUUGUGGACCAAGCAUCUUGGUAACACCUGCGAUUAUUAGUACUGAUCACAAAGUCACCACUUGACUUCCUUUGUAUAGGUUCCAUUCUAUCCUCUGUCUGCAACAAGGAAAAGAAAUUAUAAGAAGUGAUAUGACAGGACCCCCAGCCAUGAGUGAAGGGGAUUUCCCUGAUGGCUCUAUGCUAUGUUUAGCUGCAUCCGACUCUUUGCAACCCCAUGGACUACAGCCUGCCAGACUCCUCUAUUCAUGGGUUUUUCCAGGCAAGAAUACUGAAGCGGGUUGCCAUUUUCUUCUCCAGGACAUCUUCCCGACCCAGGGAUCAAAAUUGUGUCUCUUGAGUCUUCUGUAUUGGCACAGAUUCCUUGUCACUGCCCUCAUGGCUCAGUGAUAAAGAACCCACCUGCCGAUGCAGGAGACACGUGUUCGAUUCCUGGUCUGGGAAGAUUCCAGUUGCCCCAGAGCAAUAAGCGUGUGCAGCACAUAUACUGAGCCCAUGCUCUAGAUCCUGGAGCUGCAACUGCUGAAGCCUGCCUGCCCAAGAGCCUGAGCUCCGCAACACAGAGGCCAGCACAAUGAGAAGCCCGCACACUGCAGCUAGAGAGUAACCCUGCACUCUGUAACUAGAGAAAAGCC
rnacentral:lncRNA from 1 species